UGGGGAAUAUUGCACAAUGGGCGCAAGCCUGAUGCAGCGACGCCGCGUGAGGGAUGAAGGCCUUCGGGUUGUAAACCUCUUUCGUCAGGGAACAAGGCACUGCUUUUGGUGGUGUUGAGGGUACCUGGAUAAGAAGCGCCGGCUAACUACGUGCCAGCAGCCGCGGUAAUACGUAGGGCGCAAGCGUUGUCCGGAAUUAUUGGGCGUAAAGAGCUCGUAGGCGGCUGGUCGCGUCUGUCGUGAAAACUUCCGGCUCAACCGGGGGCUUGCGGUGGGUACGGGCCGGCUAGAGUGCGGUAGGGGUAACUGGAACUCCUGGUGUAGCGGUGGAAUGCGCAGAUAUCAGGAAGAACACCGAUGGCGAAGGCAGGUUACUGGGCCGUUACUGACGCUGAGGAGCGAAAGCGUGGGGAGCGAACAGGAUUAGAUACCCUGGUAGUCCACGCUGUAAACGUUGGGCACUAGGUGUGAGGCUCCUUUCCGGGGGUUUUGCGCCGUAGCUAACGCAUUAAGUGCCCCGCCUGGGGAGUACGGCCGCAAGGCUA
rnacentral:rRNA from 1 species